CAUCACCACAUAAUCCUUCUUAUGAUUCCCACCUCAAACCCGACAAGUUUUGGCCACAUUUCGUGGUGCACAGUACCCACGGGUUUGAAAACCCUUUAUCGGUGAUCGACCAUUUUUGAAGCUUAUUCCUUCCAGCACCACCACCACUAAAGGACUUCCUUAAACCCCAGGAACAAGCCCCAAACAAGAUCAGGGGCAUCGGAGUUCGAUUUGAGGACGAAUAAAUGAAUACCCAUUUAUAGGGUUCCGGCGGAUCGAGGGUGAUUUGAGGUGUUUUCUGGCCGAAUUGGACUUCGGCCCAUGUAUGAAAGUUGUUCCUUUCAUUGAGCUCUACUUGCUUGUAAAAGUUUGGCAAUUUUUAGAGUAAGUAAAAAAAUUGGGUUUUCGUUCGCCGGAAACCGGGCGUGGCCUUCCGGGCCACCGCCCUGUGGCAGCUCGUGCGAUGGCACAUGGGGGAAACCCAAGGUGCAUCGGUGGAAAAUGACUCAAUCCUCACUAGCUUAAGCGGUUCCUGGGCAACAAAAUAUCUGAUUUAGAUUCGAGGCACACGAUCCCGACGUCAGGGCACUUCCGCUUAGGCAUCUUUGAGUCUCCUUUGUGUAGUACACAUUCCUCGGUUCGUACCUUUCUAUAAUAUUUCUUUCACUUUAUUCUUGGUUAGUUGUAUGCUCUAAACACGUUCCUGCACUAGUAUUUCUCUUUCUAAUUACAUAUUUUAUUUGUAUGCAUGUUUUUAAUGGCUUCGUCACCCCCGAGUGUCGACC